GGGGAUGAUCGGUUUCGACGACGGUUGUCGUCCCAGGGGAAGCGGGUCGAGGAUGCAGAGUCAUCUCGUCAACGCUCUCUGCAAACCAAUAGGUGCCGAUUCCAAGCGCACCGAGUUCGCCCUCGCCGCCUGAGCGAGGCCUGAACUCCGUCAGCCCGGGCUAGCUCUCGUCCCGGAUCCUGGCGUCGACUAGAGAGCCACUGCUCGCCGCCCUCGUCAUCGGGGCAGCGGGGACACCUAGAUGACUGGGCCCGUCAGCGACUUGUCUGCGUGAUCGCUGGGGCCGAGAAAAUCAGCAGCAGACUGCACCCGGAGAAGCCCUGGUUCAGCACCGUCGGACGCGGGUUCGAUUCCCGCCAUCUCCACCC
rnacentral:tmRNA from 1 species